CCUACGGGAGGCAGCAGUGGGGAAUUUUGGACAAUGGGCGCAAGCCUGAUCCAGCCAUGCCGCGUGUGGGAAGAAGGCCUUCGGGUUGUAAACCACUUUUGUCAGGGAGGAAACGGUCUGAACUAAUACUUUGGACUAAUGACGGUACCUGAAGAAUAAGCACCGGCUAACUACGUGCCAGCAGCCGCGGUAAUACGUAGGGUGCAAGCGUUAAUCGGAAUUACUGGGCGUAAAGCGUGCGCAGGCGGCUUUGCAAGACAGAUGUGAAAUCCCCGGGCUCAACCUGGGAACUGCAUUUGUGACUGCAUGGCUAGAGUACGGUAGAGGGGGAUGGAAUUCCGCGUGUAGCAGUGAAAUGCGUAGAUAUGCGGAGGAACACCGAUGGCGAAGGCAAUCCCCUGGACCUGUACUGACGCUCAUGCACGAAAGCGUGGGGAGCAAACAGGAUUAGAUACCCUGGUAGUCCACGCCCUAAACGAUGUCAACUGGUUGUUGGGAGGGGUUUCUUCUCUAGUAACGAAGACUACGACGUGAAGUAGUACCGCCGUCGGGAGGGUACGGGUCCGGCCGAAGGUUAGGUUAAACGUAACGUUAAAGUUAAGUAAGUUAGUUACGGCGUGAGGACGUUGCCGAACGGACGACCGACCGAGGGGAAGGGAGGAG
rnacentral:rRNA from 1 species